GCUUGCAGCUACACCAGUGUGAAUGUGCCCAAUCUCGUCUGAUCUUGGAAGCUAAACAUGCUCGUGCUCGGCCAUUACUUGAAUGGGUGACUGCCUGGGAACCUGGAGUGCUGUAAGCU
rnacentral:rRNA from 1 species